rnacentral:rRNA from 1 species
AGCUUCGGCCAUCCGGCGAGGGAUGGGCCCGCGGUCCAUUAGCUAGUUGGUGGGGUAACGGCUCACCAAGGCGACGAUGGAUAGCUGGUCUGAGAGGAUGAUCAGCCACACUGGGACUGAGACACGGCCCAGACUCCUACGGGAGGCAGCAGUCGGGAAUCUUGCGCAAUGGGCGAAAGCCUGACGCAGCAACACCGUGUGGGCGACGAGGGCCUUCGGGUCGUAAAGCCCUGUUGUUGGGGACGAAGGGCGAAGGGUUAAUAGCCC